AUUGAACGCUGGCGGCAGGCCUAACACAUGCAAGUCGAACGAGUGGCGGACGGGUGAGUAAUGUCUGGGAAACUGCCCGAUGGAGGGGGAUAACUACUGGAAACGGUAGCUAAUACCGCAUACCAUCGGAUGUGCCCAUAUGGGAUUAGCUUGUAGGUGGGGUAAUGGCUCACCUAGGCGACGAUCCCUAGCUGGUCUGAGAGGAUGACCAGCCACACUGGAACUGAGACACGGUCCAGACUCCUACGGGAGGCAGCAGUGGGGAAUUUUGGACAAUGGGGGAAAGCCUGAUGCAGCCAUCCCGCGUGUGCGAAGAAGGCCUUCGGGUUGUAAAGCACUUUUAGCAGGAAAGCGUUACCUGCAGAAUAAGCACCGGCUAACUACGUGCCAGCAGCCGCGGUAAUAC
rnacentral:rRNA from 1 species